rnacentral:rRNA from 1 species
GGGUGGAUCAUACCAUCUUUAAUGCAUUGGAUUUCAACAUGACUUUAUAGUUAAGUGUGUUUGGGAAAGAAUAGUAUUGGAAUGGGUGACCUCCAGAGAAGUCUUAGUGUUUCAACCU